rnacentral:sRNA from 1 species
CGGGAGCUCAAGAAGACUCAGCUCAUCAAAGCUGCUCCAGCAGGGAAAACAAGUUCUGUGUUUGAAGACCCAGUCAUCAGUAAAUUCACCAACAUGAUGAUGAUAGGGGGAAACAAAGUACUGGCCAGAUCCCUCAUGACUCAGGUAAACAGCACUUCCCUCCUCAGUCAUCUUUCUUACCCCCCCCACCCCGUAGCCUUGUACUUGGUACUUUCAGUGUAGCUUAAGAGCAAAUGGAUUCAUAUUAUCUAUUAUUAAGAUUAACUUCCCUGCAUGUGUACGGGCUUUAAUGAAACCCUGUAGGAGUCAACAACUGCCAUUCCUUGGUGUUUCGGAAAUAAACACACAAUUAAAAAAAAAGGAAAAAAUAAAAAAUAAAACAACUGCCAUUCCCCACCUCACCCCCCACCCCCUCCACACCACAAAUCUCAGUCCACUCUUUGUGUCUUAGUCUAGCAAAGGGGGAGGCACUUAAAAACUUCGUUUUGGAUGUGCUGUGAGAGGAGCUUCAUUGCCAGAGCAGAACAGGAGGAUGGGAGUAAAGGGCAAGGUACUAGCUUGGCUGGGU